UACGUAGGGUGCGAGCGUUGUCCGGAAUUAUUGGGCGUAAAGAGCUCGUAGGCGGUGUGUCACGUCGUUCGUGAAAACCUGCAGCUUAACUGUGGGCGUGCGGUCGAUACGGGCAUCACUGGAGUUCGGCAGGGGAGACUGGAAUUCCUGGUGUAGCGGUGAAAUGCGCAGAUAUCAGGAGGAACACCGGUGGCGAAGGCGGCGACCUGGGUAGAUACUGACGCUGAGGCGCGAAAGCGUGGGGAGCAAACAGG
rnacentral:rRNA from 1 species